rnacentral:rRNA from 1 species
AGUGAACGCUGGCGGUAGGCCUAACACAUGCAAGUCGAACGGCAGCACAGUAAGAGCUUGCUCUUACGGGUGGCGAGUGGCGGACGGGUGAGGAAUACAUCGGAAUCUACUUUUUCGUGGGGGAUAACGUAGGGAAACUUACGCUAAUACCGCAUACGACCUACGGGUGGAAGCAGGGGAUCUUCGGACCUUGCGCGAUUGAAUGAGCCGAUGUCGGAUUAGCUAGUUGGCGGGGUAAAGGCCCACCAAGGCGACGAUCCGUAGCUGGUCUGAGAGGAUGAUCAGCCACACUGGAACUGAGACACGGUCCAGACUCCUACGGGAGGCAGCAGUGGGGAAUAUUGGACAAUGGGCGCAAGCCUGAUCCAGCCAUACCGCGUGGGUGAAGAAGGUCUUCGGGUUGUAAAGCCCUUUUGUUGGGAAGGAAAAGCAGCAGGUUAAUACCCCGCUGUUCUGACGGUACCCAAAGAAUAAGCACCGGCUAACUUCGUG